ACUGGGAGUAACAAGAGGGAAACGUUCUGAUAAUACUGGAUAAGUUAGUAUAUCGCAUGAUAUGCAAAUGAAAGCUACGGCACUAAAGGAGAGCUUUGCGUCCUAUUAGCUAGUUGGUAAGGUAAGAGCUUACCAAGGCGAUGAUAGGUAGCCGGCCUGAGAGGGUGGACGGCCACAAGGGGACUGAGAUACGGCCCUUACUCCUACGGGAGGCAGCAGAC
rnacentral:rRNA from 1 species